GAUGAUCGCUGGCGGCGUGCCUAAUACAUGCAAGCCGAGCGAACAGAUGAGGAGCUUGCUCCUCUGACGUUAGCGGCGGACGGGUGAGUAACACGUGGAUAACCUACCUAUAAGACUGGGAUAACUUCGGGAAACCGGAGCUAAUACCGGAUAAUAUAUUGAACCGCAUGGUUCAAUAGAGAAAGACGGUUUUGCUGUCACUUAUAGAUGGAUCCGCGCCGCAUUAGCUAGUUGGUAAGGUAACGGCUUACCAAGGCAACGAUGCGUAGCCGACCUGAGAGGGUAAUCGGCCACACUGGAACUGAGACACGGUCCAGACUCCUACGGGAGGCAGCAGUAGGGAAUCUUCCGCAAUGGGCGAAAGCCUGACGGAGCAACGCCGCGUGAGUGAUGAAGGUCUUCGGAUCGUAAAACUCUGUUAUUAGGGAAGAACAAAUGUGUAAGUAACUAUGCACGUCUUGACGGUACCUAAUCAGAAAGCCACGGCUAACUACGUG
rnacentral:rRNA from 1 species